ACGGGGUAGGAAUACGUAGGUAACGUACCCUCGGGGCGAGGACAGCCACGGGAAACUGUGGGUAAUACUCGAUAAACUUCCUGACCAUUAUCGGAUGGGAAGCAAUGGGUGUGAUUCCACCUGAGGAGCGGCUUACGCAGUAUCAGCUAGUUGGUGAGGUAACGGCUCACCAAGGCUACGACGCUUAGGGGGUGUGAGAGCAUGGCCCCCACCACUGGCACUGAGACACUGGCCAGACACCUACGGGUGGCUGCAGUCGAGAAUCUUCGGCAAUGGACGCAAGUCUGACCGAGCGACGCCGCGUGUGGGAUGAGGGCCUUCGGGUUGUAAACCACUGUCAGAGGGGAUGAAGUGUACGAGAGUUAUCUCUUGUAUUUGACAGAGCCUCAGAGGAAGCACGGGCUAAGUUCGUGCCAGCAGCCGCGGUAAUACGAACUGUGCGAACGUUAUUCGGAAUCACUGGGCUUAAAGGGUGCGUAGGCGGUUAUCUAAGUCAGGUGUGAAAUCUCUCGGCUCAACCGGGACACUGCGCUUGAAACUGGAUGACUGGAGUGAUGCAGGGGUGUGUGGAACUUCCGGUGGAGCGGUGAAAUGUGUAGA
rnacentral:rRNA from 1 species